GGAGGGAUGUGGAGGGGAUGUGGAGGGGAUGUGGAGGGGAUGUGGAGGGGAUAUGGAGGGGAUGUGGAGGGGAUGGGAUAUAGAGGGGAGAUACAGGGGAUGUGGAAGGAUAUGGAGGGAGGGAUAUGGAGGGAAUGUGGAAGGGAGAUACAGGGGAUGUGGAGGGAAGAUAAGGGGAUGUGGAGGGGAGAUACAGGGGAUGUGGAGGGAAGAUAAGGGGAUGUGGAGGGAAGAUACAGGGGAUGUGGAGGGAAGAUACGGGGGAUGUGGA
ensembl:lncRNA